UACGGAGGGGGCUAGCGUUGUUCGGAAUUACUGGGCGUAAAGCGCACGUAGGCGGACCAUCAAGUUGGGGGUGAAAUCCCGGGGCUCAACCCCGGAACUGCCUCCAAGACUGCUGGUCUGGAGGUCGAGAGAGGUGAGUGGAAUUCCGAGUGUAGAGGUGAAAUUCGUAGAUAUUCGGAGGAACACCAGUGGCGAAGGCGGCUCACUGGCUCGAUACUGACGCUGAGGUGCGAAAGCGUGGGGAGCAAACAGG
rnacentral:rRNA from 1 species